rnacentral:rRNA from 1 species
ACAUUUCSAACGCACAUUGCGGUCCGUGGAGAAACAUCCAGGACCACUCCUGUCUGAGGGCCG